rnacentral:rRNA from 1 species
CGCCAGACUCCUACGGGAGGCAGCAGUGAGGAAUAUUGGUCAAUGGCCGAGAGGCUGAACCAGCCAAGUCGCGUGAGGGAUGACGGCCCUACGGGUUGUAAACCUCUUUUGUCGGGGAGCAAAGCGAACCACGUGUGGUUCAUUGAGAGUACCCGAAGAAAAAGCAUCGGCUAACUCCGUGCCAGCAGCCGCGGUAAUACGGAGGAUGCGAGCGUUAUCCGGAUUUAUUGGGUUUAAAGGGUGCGCAGGCGGAGGUGCAAGUCAGCGGUCAAAUUGCGGGGCUCAACCCCGUACUGCCGUUGAAACUGCAUCCCUUGAGUGCGCGAGAAGUAUGCGGAAUGCGUGGUGUAGCGGUGAAAUGCGUAGAUAUUAGGAGGAACACCAGUGGCGAAGGCGGUCUGCUGGACAGCAACUGACGCUGAGGCGCGAAAGCGUGGGGAGCAAACAGGAUUAGAUACCCCAGUA